ensembl:antisense Gm13027 predicted gene 13027
GGAGACUGCUAGCAAGCCCCUUCCUGAAGGAACCAGAGCGGAGCAGCAGAGCCCCAGAGCCCAGGGACGAGGGAGCUGAUCUCCACCUCCCCAGCAUUUUGAGGGGGUCUUGACCGGAGUCUUUUGGAAGUUAAGACACAGAGACGGUCUCUUCAGAAGAUCCCUGAAUGAGGUGGCACCACGAGACAUCUUACUGGGCCAUCUAUGUCAAGUAUGGUGCAGGCAGCAGCUUGCUUGAUGU